rnacentral:rRNA from 1 species
UUUAAAUUAAAAUAGUAAUACUUGAGUAGUAGUAGAUAUGAUCUUGAAACUUAAAAAUUUUGGCGGUAUUUUAGUCUAUUCAGAGGAACCUGUUCUGUAAUCGAUACUCCACGUUGGACCUUACUUAUAUUUGUCUAGUUUAUAUACCGUUGUUAUUGAAUGUUUUAUAAGAAUAAUAAUUUUCUAUAGUUUUAACUAGAAUAGAUAUCAGAUCAAGGUGUAGCAUAUAUAUAAGUAGAAAUGGGUUACAAUAAAAUUAUUUAUACGAAAAUAUUUAUGAAAAAAAUAUUGAAGGUGGAUUUGAUUGUAAAAGUUUAAAGAAUAAAGCUUUGAUUUUAGCUCUAAAAUAUGC